ensembl:snRNA U12 U12 minor spliceosomal RNA
AUGCCUUAAACUUAUGACUAAGGAAAAUAAUGAUUCAGGGUGAUGCCAAAAUCUUCACUGUUAAUGUGAGACGAAUUUUUAAGCGGAUAAAGGUUGCCCCUAAGGUGACCCAUCUA